GAACCCUCAUCAUGCCUAAAGGCUAAAAGUACUCUCGCGCCUCCUCGCCCUAGGGUUUCAUUAGUUUUCAAUGUUGACGAUUCUUCACAUAUUAUUUAUUGUAAUUUGGAGGGCAAAAUAGAUUAUCUGUUGCAUCAGUUUACCCUCUCCUUCAUGAAUCAGAAAUGAACGCUGGAGGAGAUAAAACUGAUGCAGAAAUUCAAAGGUUGGCUUACCAGCCCAUUGCAUGUAUCUUUAUUUGCCUUGGCGUCAAAUGGACCUACCGACACUCUCUUAUCUUCGC
rnacentral:lncRNA from 1 species